rnacentral:piRNA from 1 species
UNGCUGGAUAUAGCAUUUGGUGAUCUGUGU